GAAGAACAACCAGAAGGUAAUGUUGUCCCCACAAAUAGGAACGUCCGGAGACGCCGAGUGCGUCAAAUGGCUCCAAACCUGUUGUCCCCAUACAUAUCCCAACCAUAAACCAAACAAUCUGCCAUUAAAAUCGACCUAAAACAAGCAGCUGCACUGGUAUUUGGAGAGGAUUUGGAUGCUAGUGAGGAACUAGUGUCUAUGCAUGACACUAUCCUAACCAGAGGCAAUUUGGGCUGCUUCGAAGGGAAUGGGUGGAUAGGAAACGACGUCGUCGAUGCCUACUGUAGAUUGUUGCAGUAUGAACAUGAACCGAAGUCGAAACUGUUUCUAUCCCCC